CAGACGAGGAGCUUGCUCCUCUGACGUUAGCGGCGGACGGGUGAGUAACACGUGGAUAACCUACCUAUAAGACUGGGAUAACUUCGGGAAACCGGAGCUAAUACCGGAUAAUAUAUUGAACCGCAUGGUUCAAUAGUGAAAGACGGUUUUGCUGUCACUUAUAGAUGGAUCCGCGCCGCAUUAGCUAGUUGGUAAGGUAACGGCUUACCAAGGCAACGAUGCGUAGCCGACCUGAGAGGGUGAUCGGCCACACUGGAACUGAGACACGGUCCAGACUCCUACGGGAGGCAGCAGUAGGGAAUCUUCCGCAAUGGGCGAAAGCUUGACGGAGCAACGCCGCGUGAGUGAUGAAGGUCUUCGGAUCGUAAAACUCUGUUAUUAGGGAAGAACAAAUGUGUAAGUAACUAUGCACGUCUUGACGGUACCUAAUCAGAAAGCCACGGUAACUACGUGCCAGCAGCCGCGGUAAUACGUAGGUGGCAAGCGUUAUCCGGAAUUAUUGGGCGUAAAGCGCGCGUAGGCGGUUUUUUAAGUCUGAUGUGAAAGCCCACGGCUCAACCGUGGAGGGUCACUUGGAAACUGGAAAACUUGAGUGCAGAAGACCGCAAGUGGAAUUCCAUGUGUAUCGGUGAAAUGCGCAGAGAUAUGGAGGAACACCAGUGGCGAAGGCGACUUUCUGGUCUGUAACUGACGCUGAUGUGCGAAAGCUGGGGAUCAAACAGGAUUAGAUACCCUGUAGUCCACGCCGUAAC
rnacentral:rRNA from 1 species